rnacentral:rRNA from 1 species
AUUGAACGCUGGCGGUAGGCCUAACACAUGCAAGUCGAACGCGAAAGCCCUUCGGGAAGAGUAGAGUGGCGGACGGGUGCGUAACGCGUAGGAAUCUAUCCUGUAGUGGGGGAUAACGUUUCGAAAGGAACGCUAAUACAGUAUACGCCCCAAGGGGGAAAGAGGGGGAUCUUCGGACAUCGUGCUAUAGGAGGAGCCUGCGUCGGAUUAGCUAGUUGGUGAGGUAACGGCUCACCAAGGCGACGAUCCGUAGCUGGUCUGAGAGGAUGAUCAGCCACACCGGAACUGAGACACGGUCCGGACUCCUACGGGAGGCAGCGGUGGGGAAUAUUGCGCAAUGGGCGAAAGCCUGACGCAGCCAGACCGCGUGUGUGAAGAAGGCCUUCGGGUUGUAAAGCGCUUUCAGUGGGGAGGAAAAGCUGGUGGCUAAUAUCCAUCGGCCGUGACGCUACCCACAGAAGAAGCACCGGCUAAUUCCGUGCCAGCCGCCGCGGUAACAC